UACGGAGGAUGCAAGCGUUAUCCGGAUUCAUUGGGUUUAAAGGGUGCGUAGGCGGGCUAUUAAGUCAGUGGUGAAAUCCUGCAGCUUAACUGCAGAACUGCCGUUGAUACUGAUAGUCUUGAGUAUGGUUAAGGUAGGCGGAAUGUGCAGUGUAGCGGUGAAAUGCAUAGAGAUUGCACAGAAGGCCGAUUGCGGAGGCAGCUUACUGAGCCAUAACUGACGCUGAGGCACGAAAGACGUGGGGA
rnacentral:rRNA from 1 species